UUACUGCAUAACUUCGUUUUCUUUGAGACACCACCACUUGUGCAGGCAGACCGCCUCUUGCUGUAUGCUUUUUCUUUCUUUUGAGACACCGUUGACGUGCUAGUGGUUACGCAGGCAGGCUGCAUAUUACUGUAUACCAUUUCCCCCCAUGCAGCAAUUUUACCGUUACGUCUAAUAUUAAUGCUACAAGCCGUUCAUUUCUUUCUGGGCCACUACCGAAGUGCAAGCGGUUAGGCAGACUGCCUACUACUGUAUACCUUUUUUGUUUCCUUUCAAAGACCACCCCUUACUGGGUACGUUUCCCCCCCCCCCCUUUUGAGACACCAUUGAAGGGCCAGUGGUUACGCAGGCAGGCUGGAUGUUACGACACAAUUGGCAUACAUUGGGUGAUGCAGGCAGACUGCUUAGUGUGCACCACUCGUCGUUUAGUCUAUUGAGGUGCUACAAGUGUUGUGUCAGUCUAUUUCCUCUCCGAAAAUAAAAUGUUGGGCUCUACA